rnacentral:rRNA from 1 species
CCUACGGGAGGCAGCAGUAGGGAAUCUUUCACAAUGGGCGAAAGCUUGAUGGAGCCACGCCGCGUGCAGGAUGAAGGCCUUCGGGUUGUAAACUGCUUUUAUAAGCGAGAAAUAUGAUGGUAACUUAUGAAUAAGGAUCGGCUAACUACGUGCCAGCAGCCGCGGUCAUACGUAGGAUCCGAGCAUUAUCCGGAGUGACGGGGUGUAAAGAGGUGCGUAGGUGGACUAAUAAGUAGCUAGUGUAAUCUGGUGGCUCAACCAUUCAUACUAUUAGCUAAACUGUUAAGCUCGAGACCGUUAGGGGUAAGUGGAAUUCCUAGUGUAGGAGUGAAAUCCGUAGAUAUUAGAAGGAACACCAAUAGCGUAGGCAGGUUGCUGGCACGGUUCUGACACUAAGGCACGAAAGCGUAGGGAGCAAACGGGAUUAGAUACCCUGGUAGUC